rnacentral:antisense_RNA from 1 species
CAGGGAGUUCUUGAGGCUGAGUGCGUAGCUUCAAAUCCAGCACUAAUUCCUCACCCCCUGGCCUGAGGUCUUCAUAGAUUGGUGGCUUCAGCCCUGCAAUUAAUUAUAAUCCCUUGCCCACCUUGAUGUAAGGCAGGAAAGCAGAUUGAAAUGCUCCUCUCUGAUGGGCAAGGGGAAUCACAGCCCAUAGAUGUACUGCACCUUCUGUACUACAGGAGCAGAACCUGAAGCUGCUUCCAAGGCUCUGGACACUUGCACGCAGGGCUAGAGGCCAAUGGUAUAUGAGCGGCCUGUGGGGUUAUGAAUAGCAGAACAGACUGGUGCUGUCACAGCCCACUCAUACCACACCUUCUUGGAAUUGCUGCAUCGCCAGAAACGCACACAGAUGGUUUGGCCUUCACGUACCGUUAUGGGCUGCUGUAAGGAGAAAGACAGGGAGGUUCAGGGUGAAGCUAUGAAUUAUACAUGGCAAUGUAUUAAGGCUCGGACCUCAUUGUACAGCUUGGAGGAAGAGAUGGGAGCCAGAAAGGAAGUGUACUCCCCGGGGAUGCUCACACCAUCAUCUGCACAGCAGGAGAGUCAAAUUAGUUCCAGAGGGAGGGAAAUGGUAUGUCUGUACUAACUGAAGGAUCAGAAGGAUCAAAUCUCCCAUGUCAAAACCAACCAACGUUGGCAUGGGCAUGGAAGAAAGAGACAAAUGCAUGUUGUCACAUUACUAAGCCAGCCUGCUUCCAACUACUGUCAUGGAGGAUUCCACUUCUAGGUUAAUUUACAGAGUCACACAGAUUAAAACUGAAAGAACCCAA